AGAGCACACUCUUAUGUGUUCUCUUGGCCACAGAGACUCGAAACUCUGAAGCAUUUCUCAGUUCACCUGUUCAGGACUGAAGACUUUUUGAAAUUAUCUAUCAGAUGCUGAAGACCAGCACUGAGGGGUCCUCCUCGGUCUCCUCUGGGGAGUCAGAGGAGGACGACCCUGGAUCUGACACACAAACCACAACCUGUGUGAAUUGGAAGCAGGACUUCCACUGGCUCAGGAAAAGAGUACUUGUGUGUCUGGGGAGGAGAGUGAUGGUCAGCAGCCCACCAGUGACCCCAACCAAGAAAAGUCUUCCCACCUCCAAGGAAACCCAACCUGAAUAAACCCUCAGUGAUUAGCACAACUCAGUGCACUAAGCACACUAAGCAGUGUGAUGGCCUCACUUCUAUAGUUCUACAGUUUUAUUGUUUUUAAUAAAAUAAAGAUUCUUGUUCUCCGUAUCUGCUUCCUCCAGCAUAUCUUCUCGAUGCAGGCUGAAAGGAGCCAUGCAGAGGACUGAAAUGUAUUCUCUGCAACUUGCAAGUAGCAUGGUGCUUCCUGAAGAGAAAGUGUGCUGCUUCUCUCCUUUCUCUCCUGCUGCCCAGGUUUUCUUCAAUCUCAUUGACUUUAUCCAUUUCAGGGAUUUCAUCCUGUUUUGUCACUAACUCACAUCCCCAGGUUUAGAAAGCAGCAGGACAAACAAGGUGGAGUGCUUUGGGGUGAUCUUCCAGGGCCUGAGCAAGCGGCAGUGAAGAUCCAGUCACUCAGGAAGAUGACUCCAGUUGACAG
rnacentral:lncRNA from 1 species